GGGAAAGGAGUAGGUGAGUGGAUAAAACUGCUGUGUGGUCUGAACUCUGAAAAGAUUAUUGUUUAACAGUGAGAGAGGCUGAUAUGAUGAUCUGUUGCCAGUUCCAAAGUUUUCUUUAGUUGUGUGAGUGACUGGGGAGAGAUGAGGUGUUGUGGUGUUUUUGUAAUUUGUUUUUCUUAUUGGUCCGGUUACUAGUGUUUCACAGUCUGUCAAACCAUAUGGAUGAAUGGAGCUAGCAUCGUAAAACUGUCACCCAAGGAAGGUUUUUGAAGCCUGUGAUUUGCAUCAGAGUUUUAAAAGCAGUGGUUAGAAGGUGUUGGGUGGGGGUGGGUGGGAAAAGAGGGGCAGACUGUGUUGGGAAUUUCUAGGUCGCGUUUGUGAAUAGGAGUAGUGUGGGGGGUGGCGAGGGAAGAGGGAAGCCUGGAGAGGGCUGAGAGGGGCCGUGUUUGGAAGCAGGGAGGGGCGAGGGGAUUAGACUCAGAGUGCCUAAUAAUGGGGUUCAAAUAGCCCACAGUGAGUCCUCCCUCCCCGCCCCUGCCUUGGUUGUGAGCCUGAGAAACAAUGAUGACACAUGUCUAAUCCCCCUUUUGCACCCUCUUCGCCCCUCUCUGAAUCCGGAGACUGGUCAUCUCAGGUUGCUGUGAAAUGAGCACGUUUCUGUUAUUCACUUUGAAAACCUGCUGUUCGUAUUCAUUGUGACUGGAAGGCCCACCAGAAGAGGUUUUGCAGUUCCCUUCCACCUGUUCUCAGUGUGGCCGCGUCUCAAACUCUGUUCCUUUUCCACGUUCAUUUCUCACCAUUGGCUGGUCUUUGUAGCUGUGAGGACUUCAGGGCAAUGGAAGACAAAAAGCUCUGAGAGAGGAAUCCAGCGCCUUGAGCUCUGCUCUCAGUUUUACCACCAACUUGCUACUCAAUCUUGGACACAGAACUUCUCUGAACUGCAAAUCCCUUGUCAUUGAGAUGAGGGUGAUGCACCUUGAUUGCCCAAAUUCCUUUCAGUUAAAAACUUGGUGGCUCUCACUAUGGUCAGUUAGGACAGGGAGAACAGUUAGGGGCCAGAGUUCCAAUUCUUCCUUGUUUUCAAAGUGCGUUUCUAAAGGGGAUUUGUUAAGACUGGGAGACUCUUCAUUAGUUUCAUCUUCUUGGGUCCAGUCCUGCCACAUGGAGCUACCACUUGGGAUUCUAACCAGGAUGGCACUCCUCUCCCUUCUCAGGGCCUAAAGCUGAGGACCAGGUGAUGGGCCAUUUAGAAGCCCCCAAGACCUUUCUGGAGGAGAGACGACGAUGGGUUCUGAAGAAGGCCCCGUCUUCCCGAGCUUUCUACACCUGCCCGGGGGAGAGGUGCGGGCGUUGUUGGCCUGUGUGGUGGUUUGGGUGAGAACCUUUGUCUUAGGAAUCCCAGGCUCACCUGAAUCAGCUGCAGGAAUUUCUGAGCUUCCCAUUAAAAAGAAAACAAAUCCGAAUUUGAGAAAGUAA